GUCUAUAUGUAGUAUAUACUGGGGGCUGAGAUAUUCUAUAUAUAUAUAUAUAUAUAUAUAGUGUAUACUGGGGGCUGAGUCUAUAUGUAGUAUGUACUGGGGGCUGAGUCUAUAUGUAGUAUGUACUGGGGGCUGAGUCUAUAUGUAGUAUAUACUGGGGGCUGAGUCUAUAUAUAGUAUGUACUGGGGGCUGAGUCUAUAUGUAGUAUGUACUGGGGCUCAAUGUCCCAAAUGGUGCACUAUUCCCUCUAUAGUGUACUACUUUCGGCGAUGGGCCCUAUUCUGUAGUGCACUACAUUUGACCAUGGGCCCUAUUCUGUAGUGCACUACUUUCGACUAUGGGCCCUAUGGGCUAUUCUAUUGAAUACAAAAUAAGUCCAUAGACUCCAGUAGAAUUCAGUUGUGGAUAUGUUUUAUACCUGAUUAAACUCAGUAGAAGGGCUGGUUUGUAAUUGACAUAAAAUGUAUUGUUAUGUCAUGAUCUGGAUGGAACCUGUGUUUUUUUAAAUUUUGUUCUGUUCCGGAACAGUAUAGAUCCCUUUCGUUGUCAGUUCUGGUUCUGUUCCUUGAAAUUCCGUUUUUCUUUUCUGUUCCCUGAACUGGUUCCAACCCCUGGUUUAGAAUAUUGUAAAGUAUCCAUUAAUUAAAUAAUAAAUGC
ensembl:lncRNA